UACAGAGGUGGCAAGCGUUGUUCGGAAUUACUGGGCGUAAAGGGCGCGUAGGCGGCCAUCUAAGUCAGACGUGAAAUCCCCCGGCUUAACCUGGGAACUGCGUCUGAUACUGGCGAUCUUGAGUCUGGGAGAGGUGAGUGGAACUCCGAGUGUAGAGGUGAAAUUCGUAGAUAUUCGGAAGAACACCAGUGGCGAAGGCGGCUCACUGGCCCGGUACUGACGCUGAGGUGCGAAAGCGUGGGGAGCAAACAGG
rnacentral:rRNA from 1 species